GCCGCUGUAGCUCAGUUGGUAGAGCAGAGGACUGAAAAUCCUCGUGUCAUCAGUUCAAUUCUGAUCGGCGGCA
rnacentral:tRNA from 1 species